CAGUAGAAUAAACUUUUCCCUAGACACAAAAUGAGAAAGGUGUGGUGCCCAACAACGCAGAGUGCCAUGGAGCUGCUUGAUAAGGCCCAGCUCGGGUCGCCAAGCCAGAUAAUCAUACACACCUGAAGCAAUGACCUGCGUGCUCAGCAGGAGAGGUGGUGACUUCACUACGGGGAGUGAUUGAAAAAGCCUCCGCAAUCUUCCUCAACUCAUGAUGUCAACUUCCACCCUGCCACAAUCCAAAGAAUAAAUGUCAGCCUCUCCCAGGACUGUGCCCUGUGACCCAAUGUACACCUGGCCAACCAUCCCACCCUCAAUCUGGACUGGCCAGACCCCACCAACGAAAUGAGUGACAUUAAACACAUGCUGAGUCUACUAUGCUCACAUGUGAUAGGUCGAGGGUCAUGGGUUUUCAUGGUGAUGGUGACUAUGAGGAAAUAAAGGACUGCUCCCUACAGUCCAGCAUCUACGCCAACUUACCCACAAGCCCCUCUGACUCUCUCAACUCCUCUAGCGUCAACUUCCACAAGAACCCCAGCUACCCCAAUGAAGCCACUGUCGCCAUCGCGAAAGAGGGCACUUCUUCUGGUGACUAAGCCACUGUCAACAUUGGUCAAAGCCCUGAGGCUCCUCCCAUCUACUAUACAGUCAGUAAACUCAGAGACACCUGACUAACUGACAACCAAUCACAAGGGACAUAUACACACUGGCAACAAAUCAUAAGUGACCUGUUAUUAUAAUAGUUAUUGUCACAUCUGCUCCUGCCACACCCCCUAGUGGACAUCCGGUGUCUCCUUGACCUGCAGCCACUCCUCCAGUACACCCUCUCUCUCGCCCCCUCCCUUUCUGUUUGUGUGUGAUUGUGUGGUUGGAGACAGGUGUGCUGGAGCCAGAGUGGAUCCUCACCAGCUGCAACCCGUUCCAUUAUCAAGACCUCUACAAAUACUCAGUCCUGCCACUUCCACUCUGCCGGAUCGCAUUCUCCGUUCAUUUUACUCCUCUGACUCCUGUCUCCUGUUCCACAUCUCACCACCCUGCUACCCUGUUCUGGAUUCAACUCAUCAUCACUCCCUUGGAUUCCCCUCCAGACCUGUUCACCCUGUCCCAACCCAGCUCACUCCAACCUCAGCCUCCACAUCUGGUUUCCAACAACUCAUCCAAGCUUCCCUGGAUCUGCCCUUCAUCUCUCCCUGUGUUACAAUAAAUAUCUUGGUUCAUUCA